rnacentral:rRNA from 1 species
AUUGAACGCUGGCGGCAUGCCUUACACAUGCAAGUCGAACGGCAGCGGGGGAGAAGCUUGCUUUUCCUGCCGGCGAGUGGCGAACGGGUGAGUAAUACAUCGGAACGUGCCCUGUAGUGGGGGAUAACUAGUCGAAAGAUUAGCUAAUACCGCAUACGACCUGAGGGUGAAAGUGGGGGACCGCAAGGCCUCAUGCUAUAGGAGCGGCCGAUGUCUGAUUAGCUAGUUGGUGGGGUAAAGGCCUACCAAGGCGACGGUCAGUAGCUGGUCUGAGAGGACGAUCAGCCACACUGGGACUGAGACACGGCUCAGACUCCUACGGGAGGCAGCAGUGGGGAAUUUUGGACAAUGGGCGAAAGCCUGAUCCAGCAAUACCGCGUGUGUGAAGAAGGCCUUCGGGUUGUAAAGCACUUUUGUCCGGAAAGAAAUGGCUCUGGUUAAUACCUGGGGUCGAUGGCGGUACCGGAAGAAUAAGGACCGGCUAACUACGUGCCAGCCGCCGCCGUAA